AGCAAUAUAUGUAUUAGAGGCACCGCCUGCCCAAUGAAAAUCACCUUUUAAUGGCCGCAGUAUACUGACUGUGCAAAGGUAGCAUAAUCACUUGUCCCCUAAAUAGAGACUAGUAUGAAUGGCAUAACGAGGACUCUACUGUCUCUUUUACCAAGUCAAUGAAAUUGACUCCCCGGUUAAAAGGCCGGGAUGACCAAAUAAGACGAGAAGACCCUAUGGAACUUUAAACACGCCCCCAAUUAAUCCUUAUUUCCUAAUAUUAUAAUUGAACUCUUUAAUGCUGGUUUCGCUGUUUUUGGUUGGGGCAACCACGGAGAAUAAUCAUCCUCCGAGAACACUGACUGAGCUAAACACAACAAGGUCUUCUUAAAAUACUAACAAUGACCCAAUAUAAUUGAAAAACGAACCAAGCUACCCUAGGGAUAACAGCGCAAUCUUUUCUAAAAGUCCAUAUUGACGAAAAGGUUUACGACCUCGAUGUUGGAUCAGGAUAUCCAGACAGUGCAGCCGCCGUCAAAGGUUUGUUUGUUCAACAAUUAAAAUCCUACGUGAUCUGAGUUCAGACCGGAGCAAUCCAGGUCGGUUUCUAU
rnacentral:rRNA from 1 species